GAUGAGCGCGCUGAUAACCGGCAAAAUAGCUCAAAAGAUGGAAAAUGUAUUAAGUUGUAAGAUAAAAAGAAAUGAAACUACUGGAGGUGGGAUUUUAUCGGUAUUAACUUAUAAUUUACAUUACCAUUAUGGAUAGUUUCCACCUUUAUAACUUUAAACGUCAGCUAGUUUACCUCGGUCAUAAUUCUAAUUCUACGUAUGACGUUUCUUCAAACUCAGAUUUAUCAGGGGGUUUCGACUUGAAGGAUAGACGUCAAGUUUUAUUUUUUAGAAAAAUCUUAAAUCAUCGCGUUAAAAUUGUUAUAAAUUAAGUAAUUAUACUGUAGAUAUAGUUAGUUAGUGUUUGAACAUUAAUUUAGUAGUUAAUUUAAAAGUUAAAACGGGAUAAUACGUUAGUAGUGAAUUAGAAAUACUAAGGACUUUUCUAUUCAGGAGCUAUGAGCUUAAGCCCAGAUGUACCUCAGGUACGGCUCUUGAAUAUUCAAGUCUAUAUUCACGGAUCCUGGCCGGAUAGCCCUGGCAGCUAAGGCCAUUCAAAUGAAGAGAAGAAGAAGAAGAAGAU